UACAGAGGUCUCAAGCGUUGUUCGGAUUCAUUGGGCGUAAAGGGUGCGUAGGUGGCGCCAUAAGUCAGGUGUGAAAUCUCGGAGCUCAACUCCGAAACUGCACUUGAUACUGUGGUGCUUGAGUACUGGAGAGGAGAUUGGAAUUUACGGUGUAGCAGUGAAAUGCGUAGAUAUCGUAAGGAAGACCAGUGGCGAAGGCGAAUCUCUGGACAGUUACUGACACUGAGGCACGAAGGCCAGGGGAGCAAACGGG
rnacentral:rRNA from 1 species